GAAAACACUACCAAGAAGCUGCCAUUUUAUUUGCUAACUUUAAAAGUUAAACUUUAAAGACUAAAAAGGGCAGUUUGGACCACAGAGGAUACAAUUAGAAAGAAGCUGCCACUUACCACUUUCUGGAACUGCUACAAAGGAAUCUAUGUGGUGUCCUAGAAGAUGUGUUUGACCUAUGGUGCCAGUCUUCAGUUUCUCAGAAGACAUAUGGGAUCCAGAUAAAUCGGACAUUGAGUGUGCCGACGAGAGUCGCUGAGGACCCAGAAGAAAAGGCUUUUUUGGUUUGGAUUUCAUCUGUAUUUCACCACUUGAAAAUUCAGUAUUGGCAUCAGGCAUCUAUAGACUCCCAUCAAGAUGUACUGACCCUGAAAAUGGUUAAGCUAAAAAAAAAAAAAAGGUUGUGUUGAUAACGCUGAAA